UACACUUAGAGGGCCAAAAUAAGC
rnacentral:piRNA from 1 species